AACGAACGCUGGCGGCAUGCCUAACACAUGCAAGUCGAACGAGACCUUCGGGUCUAGUGGCGCACGGGUGCGUAACGCGUGGGAACCUGCCCUUAGGUUCGGAAUAACUCCCCGAAAGGGGUGCUAAUACCGGAUAAUGUCUUCGGACCAAAGAUUUAUCGCCUUUGGAUGGGCCCGCGUUGGAUUAGCUAGUUGGUAGGGUAAAAGCCUACCAAGGCGACGAUCCAUAGCUGGUCUGAGAGGAUGAUCAGCCACACUGGGACUGAGACACGGCCCAGACCCCUCGGGGGGGCAGCGGGGGGGAAUUUGGGACAAUGGGCGAAAGCCUGACCCCGAAAGGCCGGGGGAGUGAUGAAGGCUUUGGGGUUUUAAAGCUCUUUUACCCGGGAUGAUAAUGACAGUACCGGGAGAAAAAGCCCCGGCAAACCCCGU
rnacentral:rRNA from 1 species